AUGGCCGCCGCCGCCGCCGCAGCCGCCGGAGCCCGGAGGCUCCUCGCCCGCCGCGCGUCCUCCUCCCCCGUCUCCAUCUCCGCCCUCCUCCGCCGCGGGGGCGCGGCGGCGGCGGCGCCCCACGAGCCUCUGCUGCGCCCGGCGGCGCUCGCGGGCGUCGCCUCCCGCCUCGGCUUCCUCCGCGGGAUGGCGCGCCGGCCGGGCGGCGACGGGUACUCGCCCGCGCGCUCCGGCGGAGGGGACCGCGCGCCCACCGAGAUGGCCCCGCUGUUCCCCGGGUGCGACUACGAGCACUGGCUCAUCGUCAUGGACAAGCCCGGCGGCGAGGGCGCCACCAAGCACCAGAUGAUCGACUGCUACAUCCAGACCCUCGCCAAGGUCCUCGGAAGCGAGGAGGAAGCCAAGAAGAAGAUUUACAACGUCUCCUGUGAGCGAUACUUCGGUUUCGGGUGUGAGAUCGAUGAGGAAACAUCCAACAAACUGGAAGGCAUUCCUGGUGUUCUAUUCGUGCUUCCUGAUUCGUAUGUUGAUCCCGAGCACAAGGACUAUGGAGCUGAGCUUUUUGUGAAUGGAGAGAUUGUUCAGAGGUCUCCGGAGAGGCAGAGAAGGGUGGAGCCUGUGCCGCAGAGAGCGUCAGAUAGGCCUAGGUACAACGACAGAACCCGCUACCAACGGAGGAGGGAGAACCAGCAGCGGUGA
rnacentral:rRNA from 1 species